rnacentral:rRNA from 1 species
GAUCAAUAGGCCGGGGUGCCCCGCUCCCCGCCGGGUCCGUAGACCGGUGCGGACUGUUCCCAGUGCGUCACCGACCACGGCUCGGCGCUCGGCUGCGGGUGUGCCACCGACUGCGGGCGCCCGGGGUCCGCAGUGAGGGUCGGCCACCCACCC